rnacentral:lncRNA from 1 species
UUCGUUGUUAAAUCAAAACUACUAGAAAAGAAUUAAAUCUGGAAGAUCAUUCUUGUACGCAGGUACAGGUACAGGUACAGGCACAAGGGGAAGUAUAUUUGCAGAGUCCAAAAAUGGAUUAUUAUUAUUUCUUGUUUCAAAAUUUUGAUGAUGAUUUCCUUCAUUGCCCUCAUCAAAAACUUCCCAUUUGUCUGUUAUUAUUGUCGUCAAAGCUUUAUUGUUAUUAUUAUUCUUCAAUUUCUCUUGUUCUUGAUCACUCACCGCUAUGGCGUUUUCUUUUUCUUCGUCCGCAAAAUUAUCAAAAAAUUCUUUGCUCUCUGUAUCUUCAUAUUUCGUCUCUGCAUCUUCUUCUUUGCCCUCUGGAUUAAACCCAUCAAUGAUUCGCUUGAGAUCUUCAAUGUCUUCUUCAGGAAUCUGGAUGACUUUGGGUAUCUCCAUCAUAUUCAGCACACCAAAUUCUCUGCAGAAUUCGAAGUACGAAGAAAGUUCUUCGCCCUGUUCUGUUGCCUUUUGAAGAGCCUUAAGCGCCAUUACAACCUCAGGUUUCUC